AUUCUAACAAUGGAUCCAAAAAAUUUAACUGCCCUCAAGGUCAAAUUACUGUAUCAAACGUGUUUUGAAGGGAACUAUGAGGAAGUUUCAAUUGGCUUGGGCAGCUUUUCUUCAAUUGCAGAGGAACAAGAGCCACAAAACUGGAAACUACUUCAUGAAGCAGCUGUCCUUUUUCUCAAACCUGUGGACGAGACAGAACUGUCCUCGCUUCAACGGAAUGUCUGCUGCAAAAAGCUUUGUCCAUUUCCUGCAACAAUUUAACUGUGGUCAAUGAGGUGGCUCAUCAGUACUAUUUGUCAAAAAAGUACAAAGAUGCAACGAAAGUUUACCGAAGUGCAUUGAAAAUAAAUGAGUCAUGCUUUACUGCUCUUGCAGGGCUCACCCUCUCAGCCAUAGCUGAGAAUGGAGUCACAUCACAGGUAAUGGCCUUGUAACGGAUUAAAAAUAAUAAUAGAUAGUUGUAAAACAUGGAAGAUUGCCAUUUGUCAAAUUUUAAUAACAUUUUGGGCACUGUAACUCCAAAGAGGGACCCAAAAAAAUACUAAUUAUCAGGAAUGAAAAAGUCUCUUAGAUACCAGAUCCAAGGGAAACAUCUCAUUUUAUAAAUAUCAUUGGUGUAGGUGGUAUAGAAAAUUACGAAGAAGUUAAGAACCUCACUUAAAAUCGACCACAUCUCAUGCAAAAGAGUGGAAAACUUGGAUCAUAUUAGAUAAAGAGUUGACCACCAAGCCACGUUGCAUCAACUUCAUUAAUGGACGAACCAGAUAGACUUAAGAGUUUUUUUUGUUUUUUUUCAUCACAUUUUUAGGUCUGCAAAAAAUCUUCAAAUUUAUUUUCCAUCAAAUUUUUAUUUCAAAAGGCAGAUUUGAUCUUAAAUAAAAUGUUUUCCAUCCUUUCACUAAAAUUUUGAGUAUUCCAUUUAGCAAUGUUGCGCUAGUCUCGGAAUUAAAUCCAGAGAUUUUCAGAUUAGUAAAAAACAAUAAGAUACACCCCAAUUUCAAGUUUCCAAGUCCAAUAUUUACGGAGAUGUGGCCCUUCAAAAAACACAGCUUAUGAUGUCCUGCCAUCGUGGUGGUGCAUCUUUACGGUUUCUUGAACCUUAGUUUCGUCCGUGUUAAAAGUUAAGGAACCAAUGCAAACAAGACAUGUGCAUCACGAACUGAUGAAUCCAAGGUGGAGGAAACCAUGACACAUACUACCGCGAUUGGCGUCAUACACUGUGUACUUUGAAGGGCGAUAUCCCUGUUAAUAUUGGAUGUAGAAAUCAGCGUGUGAACAGAUCUUAUAAUUGUUUGCUAAUUUAAAAGCUUAAACCAUCAAAAUAUCAUGUUAUCUCUAGUGCAACUUAUACAUUAUAUCUGUUUGAUAAUUUAAGACAUUUUUGGAACACAAUUCUGUCCACUUUCAGACAAAACAACAAGUGGAUUUCUUAAUAGAAAUUGCUGAGAAUAAAC
rnacentral:lncRNA from 1 species